AGUGAACGCUGGCGGUAGGCCUAACACAUGCAAGUCGAACGGCAGCACAGGAGAGCUUGCUCUCUGGGUGGCGAGUGGCGGACGGGUGAGGAAUACAUCGGAAUCUACUCUGUCGUGGGGGAUAACGUAGGGAAACUUACGCUAAUACCGCAUACGACCUACGGGUGAAAGCAGGGGACCUUCGGGCCUUGCGCGAUUGAAUGAGCCGAUGUCGGAUUAGCUAGUUGGCGGGGUAAAGGCCCACCAAGGCGACGAUCCGUAGCUGGUCUGAGAGGAGGAUCAGCCACACUGGAAAUGAGACAAGGUCCAGACUCCUCCGGGAGGCAGCAGUGGGGAAUAUUGGACAGUGGGCGCAAGCCUGGUCCAGCCAUACCGCGUGGGUGUAGAAGGACGUCGGGUUGUAAAGCCCUUUUGUUGGGAAAGAAAUCCAGCUGGCUAAUACCCGGUUGGGAUGACGGUACCCAAAGAAUAAGCACCGGCUAACUUCGUGCCAGCAGCCGCGGUAA
rnacentral:rRNA from 1 species